rnacentral:rRNA from 1 species
GAUGAACGCUAGCGGCAGGCCUGAUACAUGCAAGUCGAACGGUGUCUUCGGACAUAGUGGCGCACGGGUGCGUAACACGUAUGCAACCUACCUUACAUUGGGGGGAUAGCCUGUCGAAAGGGAGAUUAAUACCGCAUAAGACAGUAACUAGGCAUCUAGUAGCUGUUAAAGAUUUAUCGAUGUAAGCUGGGCAUGCGACCAAUUAGCUAGUUGGUGAGGUAACGGCUCACCAAGGCAAUGAUUGGUAGGGGAACUGAGAGGUCAAUCCCCCACACUGGCACUGAGAUACGGGCCAGACUCCUACGGGAGGCAGCAGUAGGGAAUAUUGGGCAAUGGACGCAAGUCUGACCCAGCCAUGCCGCGUGCAGGAUGAAGGCGUUAUGCUUUGUAAACUGCUUUUAUACAGGAAGAAACGACUUUUGCGAGAGGCAUUGACGGUACUGUAUGAAUAAGCACCGGCUAACUCCGUGCCAGCCGCCGCCGUAAAAC